rnacentral:sRNA from 1 species
CUUGGUCAUUUAGAGGAAGUAAAAGUCGUAACAAGGUUUCCGUAGGUGAACCUGCGGAAGGAUCAUUCACAAACGAGUGUUUUAUGGCACUCUUUAAAAAUCCAUAUCCACCUUGUGUGCAAUGUUUGUUGGGAAAGUCUUUUCUUUCCCUUCAUAAAUAUCAACCUAUAUCUUUAACAACAUUCGUCUGAUAACAUAUUAUGAAUAUACUUAAUUCAAAAUAUAACUUUCAACAACGGAUCUCUUGGCUCUCGCAUCGAUGAAGAACGCAGCGAAAUGCGAUACGUAAUGUGAAUUGCAGAAUUCAGUGAAUCAUCGAAUCUUUGAACGCAUAUUGCGCUCUUUGGUAUUCCGAAGAGCAUGCUUGUUUGAGUAUCAGUAAACACCUCAACCUCCUCUUGAUUUUUCAAAAGGAGGGUGGACUUGAGCUAUCCCAACAACCUUUAUCGGUCGGCGGGCGGCUUGAAAUGCAGGUGCAGCUGGACUUUUAUCUGAGCUAAAAGCAUAUCUAUUUAGUCCUCGUCAAACAGGAUUAUUACUUUUGCUGCAGCUAACGUAAAGGAUAAUUGUCCUCUUUGCUGACUGAUGCAGGAUUUUACGACACUUUAUGUGUUGUUCAACUCGAUCUCAAAUCAAGUAAGACUACCCGCUGAACUUAAGCAUAUCAAUAAGCGGAGGAAAAGAAACUAACAAGGAUUCCCCUAGUAACGGCGAGUGAAGCGGGAUGAGCUCAAAUUUGAAAUCUGGCUGGUUUACUAGUCCGAGUUGUAAUUUAAAGAAGCGUUUUCGGUGGCAGCCUGGGUAUAAAUCCUUUGGAAUAGGGUAUCAUAGAGGGUGAGAAUCCCGUCUUUGACCUAGUGCAUGCUACUAUGUGAUACGUUUUCAAAGAGUCGAGUUGUUUGGGAAU